rnacentral:rRNA from 1 species
GAGCGGUAACAGGUGUAGCAAUACAUGCUGACGAGCGGCGAACGGGUGAGUAAUGCUUCGGAAUCUGCCCAAUGGUGGGGAAUAACCAGCCGAAAGGUUGGCUAAUACCGCAUAAGUCCUACGGGGGAAAGCAGGGGAUCGCAAGACCUUGCGCCGAUGGAUGAGCCGAAGUCGGAUUAGCUAGUUGGUAGGGUAACGGCCUACCAAGGCGACGAUCCGUAGCUGGUCUGAGAGGACGACCAGCCACACUGGGACUGAGACACGGCCCAGACUCCUACGGGAGGCAGCAGUGGGGAAUACUGGACAAUGGGCGCAAGCCUGAUCCAGCCAUGCCGCGUGGGUGAUGAAGGCCUUAGGGUUGUAAAGCCCUUUCGGCGGGGAAGAUAAUGACGGUACCCGCAGAAGAAGCCCCGGCUAACUUCGUG